UUAAAUCAAUUUCUAUUUGCGUAAAAAUGCAUCAAGACACUCUUGAUUUUUUUUUUCAAUUGGAAGACAACUACAGUACUUUUUUAUUGGGAGUACUUGCGGUCAAUGCAGUAGGCAUGAGUACAAUAGGUUUUCGAUUUAUUACUAACUUGGAUGAUUUUGAACAUAACGUACAAUGUCUUACAUACUUGGCUGGUCAAGUGUUUUAUAUGUACUAUUUAAGUACCUUUGGACAAAAAUUGAUUGAUCACAGCGAAUAUGUUUUU